rfam:Habropoda laboriosa contig11320, whole genome shotgun sequence.
UGGCGUAGCGCGCAAAGCCUCGGCUUGCUAAGCCGAAGGACUCGGGUUCGAUUCCCGG